GCAGAGCACAGGGGACGGCUGGGGUUCCAGGAGCAGCAAUGCCGUGGGUCUGGAGACCCAGUCUAAUCAUGAGGCCUCAUAAAAGAAGAACCAGAGAAGAGGCAGCACGAAGACGUGGCCAGGAAGGGGUCACAGACGGGAAGACAAGGGCCUCUGGAUGCUGGAGAAGGCACGGACCUCCCCCGGAGCUUCCAGAGGGAGCCAGCUGUGCAGGCACGUCGAUUUUAGCCUAGUGAGGCCUGUGCCAGAAACCUGACCUGUAGUAACAGAAUAAAUUCGUGUUGUUUUGGGCCGCAGAGUU
rnacentral:lncRNA from 10 species